rnacentral:ncRNA from 2 species
UAGUGGUGCUAGGGGAGCCGGCCACGGCUGAGAGGCAAUGCCAACCCUUACAACCUGAUCUGGGUAAUGCCAGCGAAGGGAAGUACCGCCUCCCUGGU